rnacentral:rRNA from 1 species
AAUGGGGGAAACCCUGACGCAGCGACGCCGCGUGGAUGAUGAAGGCCCUUGGGUCGUAAAAUCCUGUCAGAUGGAAAGAAGUGUUAUGGAGCUAAUACCCUCAUAGCUUGACGGUACCAUCAAAGGAAGCACCGGCUAACUCCGUGCCAGCAGCCGCGGUAAUACGGAGGGUGCAAGCGUUGUNAGGAAUUACUGGGNGUAAAGCGCGCGUAGGCGGUUUCUUAAGUCAGAUGUGAAAGGCCCGGGCUCAACCGUGGAAGUGCAUUUGAAACUGGCAGACUUGAGUAUUGGAGAGGGUGGUGGAAUUCCCGGUGUAGAGGUGAAAUUCGUAGAUAUCGGGAGGAAUACCGCUGGCGAAGGCGACCACCUGGCCAAAUACUGACGCUGAGGUGCGAAAGCGUGGGGAGCAAA